rnacentral:rRNA from 1 species
CCUACGGGUGGCAGCAGUGAGGAAUAUUGGUCAAUGGACGAGAGUCUGAACCAGCCAAGUAGCGUGAAGGCUGACUGCCCUAUGGGUUGUAAACUUCUUUUAUAUGGGAAUAAAAUGUUCCACGUGUGGGAUUUUGUAUGUACCAUAUGAAUAAGGAUCGGCUAACUCCGUGCCAGCAGCCGCGGUAAUACGGAGGAUCCGAGCGUUAUCCGGAUUUAUUGGGUUUAAAGGGAGCGUAGGUGGAUUGUUAAGUCAGUUGUGAAAGUUUGCGGCUCAACCGUAAAAUUGCAGUUGAGACUGGCAGUCUUGAGUACAGUAGAGGUGGGCGGAAUUCGUGGUGUAGCGGUGAAAUGCUUAGAUAUCACGAAGAACUCCGAUUGCGAAGGCAGUUCACUGGACUGCAACUGACACUGAGGCUCGAAAGUGUGGGUAUCAAACAGGAUUAGAUACCCCUGUAGUC